AACGAACGCUGGCGGCGUGCCUAACACAUGCAAGUCGAGCGGAGGCGGAGGAGAGCCCAGCGAUGGGAAGGAGACUGCUUUAGCGGCGAACGGGUGAGUAACACGUGGGCAAUCUGCCCUCUGGAGCGGGAUAACAGACCGAAAGGCCUGCUAAUACCGCAUGAGGCCGUACUCUCGCAUGGGAGAACGGUCAAAGGGGAAACCCGCCGGAGGAGGAGCCCGCGUCCCAUUAGCGAGUUGGCGGGGUAACGGACCACCAAGGCGAUGAUGGGUAGCCGGACGGAGGGGGGGAACGGCCACAUUGGGACUGUGACACGGCCCAGACUCCUACGGGGGGCAGCAGUGAGGGAUUUUCGGCAAUGGGCGAAAGCCUGACCGAGCGACGCCGCGUGAGCGAAGAAGGCCUUCGGGUCGUAAAGCUCUGUCUAGGGGGAAGAGAGAGGACGGUACCCCUGGAGGAAGCCACGGCUAACUACGUGCCAGCCGCCGCCGUAAGAC
rnacentral:rRNA from 1 species